GACGAACGCUGGCGGCGUGCUUAACACAUGCAAGUCGAACGGAAAGGCCCUUCGGGGUACUCGAGUGGCGAACGGGUGAGCAACACGUGGGUGAUCUGCCCUGCACUUUGGGAUAAGCCUGGGAAACUGGGUCUAAUACCGAAUAGGACCACGCGCUUCAUGGUGUGUGGUGGAAAGCUUUUGCGGUGUGGGAUGGGCCCGCGGCCUAUCAGCUUGUUGGUGGGGUAAUGGCCUACCAAGGCGACGACGGGUAGCCGGCCUGAGAGGGUGACCGGCCACACUGGGACUGAGAUACGGCCCAGACUCCUACGGGAGGCAGCAGUGGGGAAUAUUGCACAAUGAGCGCAAGCCUGAUGCAGCGGCGCCGCGUGAGGGAUGACGGCCUUCGGGUUGUAAACCUCUUUCAAUAGGGACGAAGCGCAAGUGACGGUACCUAUAGAAGAAGCACCGGCCAACUACGUG
rnacentral:rRNA from 1 species